UUUAAGAUGCCUAUGGAAGUAAUCCCAGGCUUGACCRGACUAAUCGAGGACUACAUCAAAAGAUGCGGGUGUCGGAGCAACUUGCUGAGKAUAGCAUCUACUGAUCGAACUAUUGGCACUCCUUGGGAACUGGUGCCACCAGAUAAAGCUCAUUCCUGAGCUCAAGCUUGUUGCCUCCUGCUCAGCAACUGAUAAGAGAGCCAUGAUGCUUACUUAAUUUCCAUUAAAUAACUUGCACAAAU
rnacentral:lncRNA from 1 species